rnacentral:rRNA from 1 species
AUUGAACGCUGGCGGCAGGCCUAACACAUGCAAGUCGAGCGAGCGGCGGACGGGUGUGAAAUGUCUGUGAAACUGCCUGAUGGCGGGGGAUAACUACUGGAAACGGUAGCUAAUACCGCAUACGAUCAGAUAUGCCCCCAUGGGAUUAGCUAGUAGGGGGGGGAACGGCUCACCAAGGCGACGAUCCCUAGCUGGUCUGUGAGGAUGACCAGCCACACUGGAACUGAGACACGGUCCAGACUCCUACGGGAGGCAGCAGUGGGGAAUAUUGCACAAUUGGCGCAAGCCUGAUGCAGCCAUGCCGCGUGUGUGAAGAAGGCCUUCGGGUUGUAAAGCACUUUCAGCGGGGAGGCGUUACCCGCAGAAGAAGCACCGGCUAACUCCGUGCCAGCAGCCGCGGUAAUAC